UGCGCAGCGCGUGCUUCAUCACGAUAUUGCCGAAGGAGACGCCUUUCAGCCGCGCGGUGCGGAUAUACUGCGCGGUCAUAACCUCGGCCAUCGAGGCGCGCGUCAUCCGGGCGAUGUAACCGAUCCCGUAAAGCGCAAUCGUCAUCACCGGCAGCGUGAAGUUCACGAACGUUAUGU
rnacentral:ncRNA from 1 species